GCCGCCGUAGCUCAGGGGUAGAGCACGCCCUUGGUAAGGGCGGGGUCCACAGUUCAAUUCUGUGCGGCGGCACCA
rnacentral:tRNA from 1 species